rnacentral:rRNA from 1 species
GUGUCAGCAGCCGCGGUAAUACGGAGGGGGCCAGCGUUGUUCGGAAUCAUUGGGCGUAAAGGGCGCGUAGGUGGCCAUGCAAGUCGGAGGUGAAAGCCCUCGGCUCAACUGAGGAACUGCCUCCGAUACUGCAUGGCUUGAGUCCCGGAGAGGGUGGUGGAAUUCCCAGUGUAGCGGUGAAAUGCGUAGAUAUUGGGAGGAACACCGGUGGCGAAGGCGGCCACCUGGACGGGUACUGACGCUGAUGCGCGAAAGCGUGGGGAGCAAACAGGAUUAGAUACCCUGGUAGUCCACGCCGUAAACGAUGGGUACUUGGUGUUGCGGGUAUCGACCCCCGCAGUGCCGAAGCUAACGCAUUAAGUACCCCGCCUGGGGAGUACGGUCGCAAGGCUGAA